GCUGCCCUUGCGCUCCUCGUACUAUACCUUUUUGUUCUGGUCCCGGGAAGCCAUCCACCAUCUGAUCAUUCAUAUUGCGCAGCAUAUCUCCGUCUUUAUUUAUUAUUCUCCAUUCUUAUUCUGCAUAAGUUCGAUACGCGUCUCAGAACUUAGUACAUGGACCUGAACAUGGGACAUGUACAGUACAUGUUCAACAUGCAUGCACCAUGUCAUCGGGAACCCUAAUUUUCUGGACAGUGGAUAGCCAUCAAUAUCGAGAAGAGGGCAUCGCAUGGUAGAAAUGGUAAUGGUUUUCAUUUCCAAGCAAAGCAACAGUGGUGCUGAGGAUGCUAUCCACCAAGUUGUCUCUGGGUUUCUCUCUUUCUCGUGUAGUUCGGGGUGUCGUGGUCAUGUUGCUUCG
rnacentral:sRNA from 2 species